UACGUAGGGGGCAAGCGUUGUCCGGAAUCAUUGGGCGUAAAGAGCGCGUAGGCGGUCCGGUAAGUCCGCUGUGAAAGUCAAGGGCUCAACCCUUGAAUGCCGGUGGAUACUGUCGGGCUAGAGUCCGGAAGAGGCGAGUGGAAUUCCUGGUGUAGCGGUGAAAUGCGCAGAUAUCAGGAGGAACACCAAUGGCGAAGGCAGCUCGCUGGGACGGCCCUGACGCUGAGGCGCGAAAGCGUGGGGAGCGAACGGG
rnacentral:rRNA from 1 species